UCUUGGUCAUUCACGAAGGUGAAACAGUGGCUGAUGUUAAAGUGCGAAUACAAGCGAAAUUUCAGGUUCCUGAGGAAGAGUUCUCCAAGUGGAAGUUUGCACUGUUGCCUUCAGGGCGACCAGAGUACCUAGAGGACUCUGACAUUUUAUUCAAUCGUUUUCAGGUUUGUCUUUGUUUCCUUGGUGUUUUGUUCUCACAUUUGAUCACUGUAUAUAUGUAGUAUUUAUUUGUGUGUACUCUUCAGAGAAGAGAUGUCUAUGGUGCCUGGGAGCAAUACCUCGGGUUAGAGCACUGUGAUAACAGUCCUAAGAGAGCUUAUAUAAAUCAGAACCGUCACACAUUUGAGAAACCAGUUAAAAUAUACAACUAAUAGAACAGGUAGUUGAAGUGGAGAGUUUUUUCAAAUGACG